CUUGGUUGAUCCUGCCGGACCUGACUGCUAUCGGAUUGGUACUAAGCCAUGCGAGUCGUUGUAGCAAUACAAGGCGGACUGCUCAGUAACACGUAGUUAACUUAACCUAUGGAUGGGGAUAACCUCGGGAAACUGAGAAUAAUACCCAAUGGACCACAGUGCCUGGAAUGGCCUGUGGUUGAAAUGAUUUAUCGCCGUAGGAUAGGACUGCGGCCUGUCAGCUUGUUGGUGAGGUAAUGGCCCACCAAGGCUAUAACAGGUACGGGCUCUGAGAGGAGGGGCCCGGAGAUGGGUACUGAGACACGGACCCAGGCCCUAUGGGGCGCAGCAGGCGAGAAACCUUUGCAAUGUGCGAAAGCACGACAAGGUUAAUCCGAGUGUCUCCUGCUAAAGGAGUCUUUUGUCAGUUGUAGAAUCACUGGUGAAUAAGGGGUGGGCAAGUUCUGGUGUCAGCCGCCGCGGUAAAACCAGCACCUCGAGUGGUCAGGAGGUUUAUUGGGCCUAAAGCGUCCGUAGCCGGUUGCAUAAGUUUUCGGUUAAAUCUAUGCGCUUAACGUAUAGGCC
rnacentral:rRNA from 1 species